UACGAAGGGUGCUAGCGUUGUUCGGAAUUACUGGGCGUAAAGCGCGCGUAGGCGGUUAUUCAAGUCAGGGGUGAAAUCCUUGGGCUCAACCCAAGAAUUGCCCUUGAAACUGAAUAACUAGAGUGUCGGAGGGGAUAGCGGAAUUCCUAAUGUAGAGGUGAAAUUCGUAGAUAUUAGGAGGAACACCGGUGGCGAAGGCGGCUAUCUGGACGACAACUGACGCUGAGGCGCGAAAGCGUGGGUAGCAAACAGG
rnacentral:rRNA from 1 species